UACGAAGGGGGCUAGCGUUGCUCGGAAUUACUGGGCGUAAAGGGCGCGUAGGCGGAUAUCUAAGUUGGGGGUGAAAUCCCGGGGCUCAACCUCGGAAUUGCCUUCAAAACUGGAUAUCUUGAGUUCGGGAGAGGUGAGUGGAACUCCGAGUGUAGAGGUGAAAUUCGUAGAUAUCAGGAGGAACACCGGUGGCGAAGGCGGCUUUCUGGACGACAACUGACGCUGAGACGCGAAAGCGUGGGGAGCAAACAGG
rnacentral:rRNA from 1 species